rnacentral:antisense_RNA from 1 species
AAGGAACGCGCCUGGCGUCACUGAGGGUGUCACCCGGGACCGCGGCUCAGGAACCCCACACGCACGGGCCUUGUGCUGUCGCUGCCGUGGCACCCCUUCUAGAAGUCGUGAAGGGGCCUCGUGACUGGGCCUCAUGCCAAACAACUCAUUACAAAAGGAGCUAUGGUCCCAGACCACACCGAAGCUUCAUGAGACCUCUCCUCAUCUGUGCACGGGCAAGUGUCUGACUCUGGAGCCCAGGCUGUUGCUUUCCAGUCUGGUGGUGAAUCCUUCACAGUCUGGAUUGAGAUGUUGGAAGCUUUAGAAUGUUGAUUAUGAUGAUACCCAAGACUCAAGUUUAAGAAGGAAAGGAAGCAAUAAGAUCAUGCCUGCUAUUAGUAUAGUCAUCACAGUUAUUGUGUAAAGAAAAUCUAGGUAUCUUGCACCAAGAAGUGGAAAAUAAAGAAGAGAAAUGAGAACCAUGUUUGUAUUGGCUGUCUAUAAAAUAAGAGUUCUAGGUACAUGAAAUCCACUGGUGUGCUGGUAAAUGUUUAAUAACCAGUCCUCUGGAAAGGAGAAAGUUGAAGACCCCAUUUAUACAUUUGCUCAUUUCGGUGGUGUAAAUACCCUGAAAAUAGCUGAUUUCGAGCUAUCAACAUUACUGAAGAUGGAGCUGGGAAGAGGGAGAAGUUAAGUGAAGUUUUCCAACCCACAGCUGUUUUGGCUGAGGCUCCAAAGACUGAGAAUAUAUCAGUAUCUGCCCAGUCACCACUGUGUACCAAAGGAGGUGCUGGAUUGGCUCUUCAGGACAUGCUACAUGG